rnacentral:rRNA from 1 species
CCUACGGGUGGCAGCAGUGAGGAAUAUUGGUCAAUGGGCGAGAGCCUGAACCAGCCAAGUCGCGUGAGGGAGUACUGCCCUAUGGGUUGUAAACCUCUUUUGUCGGGGAGCAAAAGCCGGACGUGUCCGGCUGUGAGAGUACCCGAAGAAAAAGCACCGGCUAACCCCGUGCCAGCAGCCGCGGUAAUACGGAGGAUGCGAGCGUUAUCCGGAUUUAUUGGGUUUAAAGGGUGCGCAGGCGGAUUUUUAAGUCAGCGGUAAAAUCGUGGGGCUUAACCCCAUCCAGCCGUUGAAACUGGGGAUCUAGAGUGUGCGAGAGGUAUGCGGAAUGCGUGGUGUAGCGGUGAAAUGCAUAGAUAUCACGCAGAACCCCGAUUGCGAAGGCAGCAUACCGGUGCACAACUGACGCUCAGGCACGAAAGCGUGGGUAUCGAACAGGAUUAGAUACCCUAGUAGUC